rnacentral:tRNA from 1 species
GCGUCAGUGGUUCAGUAGUAGAAUGCUCGCCUGCCAUGCGGACGGCCCGGAUUCGAUUCCCGGCUGGCGCA